rnacentral:rRNA from 2 species
UUGCUACUUUGCUGACGAGCGGCGGACGGGUGAGUAAUGCUUGGGAACAUGCCUUGAGGUGGGGGACAACAGUUGGAAACGACUGCUAAUACCGCAUAAUGUCUACGGACCAAAGGGGGCUUCGGCUCUCGCCUUUAGAUUGGCCCAAGUGGGAUUAGCUAGUUGGUGAGGUAAUGGCUCACCAAGGCGACGAUCCCUAGCUGGUUUGAGAGGAUGAUCAGCCACACUGGGACUGAGACACGGCCCAGACUCCUACGGGAGGCAGCAGUGGGGAAUAUUGCACAAUGGGCGCAAGCCUGAUGCAGCCAUGCCGCGUGUGUGAAGAAGGCCUUCGGGUUGUAAAGCACUUUCAGUCAGGAGGAAAGGUUAGUAGUUAAUACCUGCUAGCUGUGACGUUACUGACAGAAGAAGCACCGGCUAACUCCGUGCCAGCAGCCGCGGUAAUACGGAGGGUGCGAGCGUUAAUCGGAAUUACUGGGCGUAAAGCGUACGCAGGCGGUUUGUUAAGCGAGAUGUGAAAGCCCCGGGCUCAACCUGGGAACUGCAUUUCGAACUGGCAAACUAGAGUGUGAUAGAGGGUGGUAGAAUUUCAGGUGUAGCGGUGAAAUGCGUAGAGAUCUGAAGGAAUACCGAUGGCGAAGGCAGCCACCUGGGUCAACACUGACGCUCAUGUACGAAAGCGUGGGGAGCAAACGGGAUUAGAUACCCCGGUAGUCCACGCCGUAAACGAUGUCUACUAGAAGCUC